ACAAACCACGAUGUGCGCGUAUAAAUACCGCUGAAAUCUCACAGAUCCGGCACAACACAAUCAGCACCACAGUCGAUCGCUACAAACGGUCUGCAGCACUCAUCGAUUCAAAAAUAAAUUAUCACAACAUUCAAACUUCAACAUGUCCGGAAAGCUCGUCAUCUUUUUCUUGGUAGCCGUCGCACUGGCUUGCAUUGGUUCCGCCGCCGCCCAAUACAUCGUCUACCCUUCAGCUCCGGUCAUCACUCCCUAUUACAAUCCCUACGGAUACACCUACCCCUUGACUUACAACUACAGGUUUGGUGCUUACCCAUACCUCUUGCGCCGUUGAUUUGCACUGCCGAUAUCCCCCUCUUUUUCAAUCAAUACAUCGUGAAGAAGAAAACGGACUUCACACCGAACAAUGUUUAAACAAUACGUUAAUAAUUGUAUUAAUUUGAUUAAAAAAAAAAAAAAAGAAUGUAAUAUAUUUUUAAAUGUUUAAUUAUCAUAAUUUAUAAUCAUACACGUCAUGAAAAAAUAAAAAAAAAUUACACAAUA